GCUGCUAGGUCGCAGAGGGCGGACGUCGGAGUUGGGCGCCAUGAAAUUGCCAAAUGAUAGGCUUUUGCGAGACCUCGGGUUGUUAUCAAGUUGUUAUAAAACAUGAUCUGAGAAAUGUGCGUCUUCUUGAUGGCUCUACGAGUCUUCUCUGCAUGUCUUGAUUGGGGGGCUGAUGCCCUGCGCCAGAAGUUCGAAUGGCCGGCGGCCUUGGCAUAAGGAAAGCUGGUGCUUUUGAAGACCUGUUGAAAGGCCAUGGUUUGGCGCAAACCUCACAUGACAUGACACACAUGAUGGCAACAUAUGAGAUGGUCUGGGUAUUGAAAUAUGACACCCGUCAACGCUCCGACGACGUCUCUGAUGCCAGGGCUGGCCUGGAAGUCGUCACGGACAUCGGAGUCCUGCCAAGCUUCUGUACACACCAUUCAGGCUGCGUAACAGGCGAACCACUUCAUCGACAAAACUCCAUGCGGUGGAGAUGGACAGGUUAAGAUCAGAGCCGCUUUUUGGAGGGUUCUGAUGCUGCCUGAUAAGAGCAGUCUUCUUCGGCUCAGGUAGCACACACAUAUGACCAUGUGGGACCACAUGGGCAUGCCUAUCUAUUCCACAUGGUAACUACAUAUACUUCCCCAUGUUGUAACCAUAUGGACUGUCCCAUAUGGUAACCAUUGGGGUUUCCCUGUUUUCCUUUCUGUCGCGAUUGUUGACCAGCCACUUGCCGAUGGCGUUGGCGAUAUCCUUCUCGGUGACGGACAAGGCCGGGUUCUGUUUGAGUGCCCCUGUCAGAGCUGUCUAAUACAACGUGUGUAACAUGUUGCAAAAGCUCACUUUUCUACAAAAACACUUAUUUGUGG